AGCGAACGCUGGCGGCGUGCCUUACACAUGCAAGUCGAACGGCAGCAUAGGAGCUUGCUCCUGAUGGCGAGUGGCGAACGGGUGAGUAAUAUAUCGGAACGUGCCCUAGAGUGGGGGAUAACUAGUCGAAAGACUAGCUAAUACCGCAUACGAUCUACGGAUGAAAGUGGGGGAUCGCAAGACCUCAUGCUCCUGGAGCGGCCGAUAUCUGAUUAGCUAGUUGGUGGGGUAAAAGCCUACCAAGGCGACGAUCAGUAGCUGGUUUGAGAGGACGAACAGCCACAGUGGGAGUGAGACACGGCUCAGACUCCUACUGGAGGCAGCAGUGGGGAAUUUUGUACAAUGGGGUCAACCCUGAGCCAGCAAUGCCGCGUGAGUGAAGAAGGCCUUCGGGUUGUAAAGCUCUUUUGUCAGGGAAGAAACGGUGGUAGCUAAUAUCUACUACUAAUGACGGUACCUGGAGAAUAAGCACCGGCUAACUACGUGCCAGCAGCCGCCGUAACAC
rnacentral:rRNA from 1 species